GAUGAACGCUGGCGGCGUGCCUAAUACAUGCAAGUCGAGCGAACAGAUGAGGAGCUUGCUCCUCUGACGUUAGCGGCGGACGGGUGAGUAACACGUGGAUAACCUACCUAUAAGACUGGGAUAACUUCGGGAAACCGGAGCUAAUACCGGAUAAUAUAUUGAACCGCAUGGUUCAAUAGUGAAAGACGGUUUUGCUGUCACUUAUAGAUGGAUCCGCGCCGCAUUAGCUAGUUGGUAAGGUAACGGCUUACCAAGGCAACGAUGCGUAGCCGACCUGAGAGGGUGAUCGGCCACACUGGAAGUGAGACACGGUCCAGACUCCUACGGGAGGCAGCAGUAGGGAAUCUUCCGCAAUAGGCGAAAGCCUGACGGAGCAACGGCGCGUGAGUGAUGAAGGUCUUCGGAUCGUAAAACUCUGUUAUUAGGGAAGAACAAAUGUGUAAGUAACUAUGCACGUCUUGACGGUACCUAAUCAGAAAGCCACGGCUAACUACGUG
rnacentral:rRNA from 1 species